CAGUAGCGUCGUGUCGCGGACGAAGAGGACCGGACCAAGCUGGACUAGAAUAGAGGCACCCUAUCGCCAGCGCCUCUCGGACUCGGAGCAGAGCCUCCGCUGUUGCUAUGAGACACCACAGAGCUCUCCACGUCGUUCGUCCUGCUGUCGUACGUCACCGACCGGUUCAUGCUCCCCUGCGACCACGCGAACCUUCCGGAGACGGCGACGAGGGGAUUAGCGUCAGUGGCGACCCCCUCCGUGCCCGCCGGCGCCCCGGCCGUGGAGCCCCUGUGGGCUGCUUGCCUCCACCCGUCUCCCCGGCGCGAGCUACUCGCCACAGACUCCCCCGCCGUGCUCCACCUGUAACGCAUCUCGAGUUCUCCGCCGUUCUCGGCCUGAAUCCUGAGACUGGGAAGUUUGUGUCUGAAAGCGUGGAGGAACAAAUUUCAAUUGUUUUAAAUAUAGCUUACAAUUUUGAGCUACCAAGAAGUUCUUGCAGAUUAACUGAUGUCUCAAAUGUGAAUAUAUUUUUGGGUAGUUCCGAACACACUGUUUUACAUGUUGUAUAUCUGAGAAUGAUUAGAAUAUUUAUCAUGUGCUAUAUGAAAGCACAUGCAACAACGAAUAAUUGCCAUAUUGAAUCUGCAUCUGUAAACUACAUAAUUCUUUCCUGACAGACAUUCAUAGGAAUAUAGGAUCACAUCUUCCUUUGCAAGUUGCAUUCAGUAAAGAACCAUCCACUGUAUCUGCUGUAAGGCGCUAUUUUCCGACAUUUGUCUUUGUUUAUAUCCUCUUCUGUCUCAGGUAAUGAAGAACAUGGGCAAAAUAUUGAAAGCAAAUGGUGCUAGCUACUCUUCAGUUGUGAAGGCAACAAUCAUGUUGGCUGAUCUACAGGACUUCAAGAAAGCGUAUAGUUAUUCCAUUCUUGAACCAUGGAACCAUGGCACGGGGAUCCUCUGACGUACUACACGGUUGCUGACACGUGGGGCCUGGGCCCACAUGUCAGCGGGCGUGCAGUACGUCAGAGGAACUCGGUUCGGAGCCAUGAGGGUGCUGUAAACUAGGUAUCUUGAGGGCAUCAGAAUUCGGGAGCAGCAUGUUGUUAACAUAUUUCUGAAGAUAUCAACAUUCUUCCUACAGAUUUCCCGGCCCCCACACCUGCAUGCUCGGCUUACCAAGUUGCGACCCUUCCAUUGAAUGCCAGGAUCGAGAUCGAGUGCAUUGCUGCUCUCUAAUUAGGUUUGAGUGCAAACUAUCAAUAAGUGUUUCGACCAUGUCAAUGUAGUUCUUCAGUGUCCUGAAAUACAUUAGUUGAUGGUACAAGUUCUUAAGUGUCACUCAGAUGAGACCACCGCAGCGGGAACAUAUAAGGAUGACAGAGCAAGAAAACAGCAGAGCCACUAUGGCAAUGGCUAAACAUGAUACUCUCUCUUCCUCCACUGCUGUUACAGAGAAUUGAAUAUAAUAGACUAAUAGAGGUUCAUCAAGAUUUGAAGUGCAGAUUUUGACAUAACUGAUGUGCAGCAAGACCACGCCCUGGCCGUCGAGAGCUUGGCGCCGGAGCUGGUUGAUCUGAGGUUCGAGCUCUGCCUGAGCCACAUGAGCGAGGGCUGCUUCUGGAAGAUAUACUUCGUGCUGCUGCAUUCUAAGCUCAAGAAGGAGGAUGCUGAGAUUCUGUCGACUCCGCAGGUAAUUUUGCCUUGAUAUAAUCUGAGGUAGCAAUAUAAGUUCACUAAGUUAACUGAGGAUUUUUCCUUGACAUAAGUUCACUAAGUUAGCCACUGUCAAUGGUUCACUAAGUUCACUCGGAGGUAUAACAGCAUGCAAUUUAUUAGCUGAUGUUUCCAAUGCUGUAUUUGGAAUCAUGGAAAAUUGCAGUGACAAGAAACUUAGUGCAAAUAGAUAUUAAAUGCACUAUGAUUUGAUAUCUCUUUCACCUCAGGUUACAUGUGCAGGUAAGGCACUCGUGCUUAUAUGGCAAUUACAAUGGUAGACAUGAAAUAUGAUCAAAAUGUAUAUAAACAGUUUGUAUUUCUACAUAAACGUUGCAUCAUAAUUAUGAGUUUAAACUGAGUACAACAUUUCAUUUGAAGGAAGAAGGAAUGCACUUGCAUCGUCCUUCCUUCAAAUGAAAUGUUCCUUGAGAGAUACAAACUUGCAUCCUCCUUCCUUCAAAUGAAAUGUUGUACUGUUUUGGGAAAAUGGUCACUCUUCACAUUAGUCGAUGUUCUAUCUGUAACUUGAUUAUCAGUUUGACCUCACUCUGGAAUUUGACUCCCUCGCCGCUCACAUUCUCCU